rnacentral:lncRNA from 1 species
UAAUUCAAAUACAAAAAAGUUGUGUGUCCACUUGUUCUGCCUGUAUCAUUUAAAUUACAUAUCUAAAGCAUAAUGUGUGUUUUGUUUGUCAUACAUUUGGCAUAUAUAUUUAAAACAGUGUAAAGGAAGGUUUUAGAAGUUCUUUGUAUAUGUAUACAUAUUGCCAUCUUUCACUCUGGUUUGUCAACAGUCUGGGAAUUAUAUUUGAAACUGAUGCAAAACGUUACAUUAUUCAGCAAUCUAAUUUAUUUGAGACAAAAAAUGAGUAUUUAUUUAAACUUCUUGAAAACAUGUGAGACAAUAUCUCUAUAGGAUGUUCUUUCAUUAAUAUCAAGACAUUUCUGUGUUGAGUAUGAAAUAUUUGUAUUUAUCAUAUAUUAAGUACAAAAUACAGCUAUUUUGUAUAUUUAAUAAAGGUUGUUUUUCCAGUCUGUAUCACCUACCCUGUAUCGCAUACCCCGUAUCGCAUAGCUAAACCCGUAUCGCAUACCCCGUAUCGCAUGGUAAAACCCGUAUCGCAUCUUUUUUUUUUUUUUUUUUUUUUUACAAAUAGUUUUAUGUUUUUUUUUUGCUUAAGAAAAAAUUUCCUCAAAAUAGGUCAUUUUUUUAAUGACGUCAUUGUUUGGUAUGUAACGUCACGAACGUCAAGUUUUCAUAUUGUAUGUGACGUCACGAACAUCAAGUUUGCAUAUUUUUUGGCACACUAAAUGCAACUAUAAAAAAUACAAAACACUCAAAUAAAUACAAUAAUAAACAAAAUAUUUUUAAAACAGCAGCAGGCAAAUGGUAAGGUAACCUAGGUGCUUUGUAUAAGCAGUUAUUUUAAGGCUUUGAACCAAGACAAAAGCAGAACUGAAGGUAACCCAGUGCUAAUCUAUCGGGAUCAGAAAACAGUUCAUAUAAUAUAAUACUCUUCUGUUGAAAUAUAUGAUAAAGCGUAUAAUACAUGGCAAAAUCCGUAUCACAUGCCGUAUCACCCUCG